rnacentral:rRNA from 1 species
AGCGAACGCUGGCGGCAGGCCUAACACAUGCAAGUCGAACGGAUCCUUCGGGAUUAGUGGCGGACGGGUGAGUAACACGUGGGAACGUGCCCUUUGGUUCGGAACAACUCAGGGAAACUUGAGCUAAUACCGGAUGUGCCCUUCGGGGGAAAGAUUUAUCGCCAUUGGAGCGGCCCGCGUCGGAUUAGCUAGUUGGUGGGGUAAAGGCCCACCAAGGCGACGAUCCGUAGCUGGUCUGAGAGGAUGAUCAGCCACAUUGGGACUGAGACACGGCCCAGACUCCUACGGGAGGCAGCAGUGGGGAAUCUUGCGCAAUGGGCGAAAGCCUGACGCAGCCAUGCCGCGUGAAUGAUGAAGGUCUUAGGAUUGUAAAAUUCUUUCACCGGGGACGAUAACGACGGUACCCGGAGAAGAAGCCCCGGCUAACUUCGUGCCAGCCGCCGCCGUAAUAC